UUAACCGUGAUCCCUCUUCGGAGCAGUGGAGACAGGUGGUGCAUGGUUGUCGUCAGCUCGUGUCGUGAGAUGUUGGGUUAAGUCCCGCAACGAGCGCAACCCUUAUCCUUAGUAGCCAGCGAGUCGAGUCGGGCACUCUGGGGAGACUGCCAGGGAUAACCUGGAGGAAGGUGGGGAUGACGUCAAAUCAUCAUGCCCCUUAUGAUUUGGGCUACACACGUGCUACAAUGGCGUAAACAAAGGGAGGCAAAGGAGCGAUCUGGAGCAAACCCCAAAAAUAACGUCUCAGUUCGGAUUGCAGGCUGCAACUCGCCUGCAUGAAGCUGGAAUCGCUAGUAAUCGCGAAUCAGAAUGUCGCGGUGAAUACGUUCCCGGGUCUUGUACACACCGA
rnacentral:rRNA from 1 species